GGGCGGUUAGCUCAGCGGGAGAGCGCUACCUUGACACGGUAGAGGUCACUGGUUCAAUCCCAGUACCGCCCACCA
rnacentral:tRNA from 1 species